AUUCAUAAUUUAGAAAUAAAAAAGACUAUACCUUUCUUGGGCAACAGUGUCCCAAAUCCUAGUGAGAAUUAUUUUUCGUAAAUCUUCACUGAAGAUUGGAUUUUCCAACACCAGAACCAUCUAAUAAAGAGAUGAUCAAGACUCAGUUCCAGUGCUAGCUCAGGAUCAAGAUACAACCCAACCUUUUCCUUUUCAUGCGACGACCUCACCUUCUUUUCCCUCCACACCUUUUUUCUCAUCACAAAAUUGAGGAGUGCUACAAUGCUAGCAUAUAUAUAACAAGAACUAUUCGCAAAGCGAGGGUAGAUAGUUUUUACAGAGCAUGGAUGCUAUGGGAAAAACCUACACUUACUAGCUAUGAUAGCAAAGGAGAGUCGUAAUACAGAGAAGGGUGUGAAUGCUCUUAGCUAAUGUGAGUAGGUAAAUAUUCGAAUACCUUACCAAACGUCAUCUGAUCACACGGAUCAUAUGACAUCAAUCACGGAUUAUAAUUACAAGACAAAGAUUGAAAGCGGCAGGACAACGCCCAUGCCCGCCCUCUCGGCGUUCCUGCGUUACCCCCAGAAAGGCCGAAACGGAUUUCGAAAAAGUUCCUCAAUCAGAGAAAUCUCCGGACGAAUCUAGAACUUUCUAGAAUUUGACGACGGUGUUCUUUCUGCUUCUGGGCGGCUUUGUGAAGUUAUUUGCCUCAGAUUUGGAUCGAAUUGCAGUGUAGAAUGUGCCUGGUGAAUGUUCUCUUGUUGAUUUUCUAAGGUUUCGUCAUUGAUUUUCAGAUUCUCAAAGCACAGUGAAUUGUAGCUAUUGGAUGUAUUGGACUGGUGAAAGCUGUGAUCUUUAGUCUUUUAUAUGGCAGAUUAAACUGAACCCGAACCUCAACAGAGCGAAGCAGGUAUGCAUUUUUGUUUGUCAAAGCUCAUCUCUUUGUUUGCUUUUUUCAACUUUACCUGCUAUCGGUUGCGUUAAUGUUUACAUAUAUGCAUAUGCAAAUGGCAUUUGCAGUGUGCAAUUUUUUCAUGAAGUCUAUUUUUCAGUAGUUCCUCAAAACUCGAUGUAUCUGUCUGAGCUAUCUUUUUAGAAAACAAUCCGAUUCAUUAGAGAGUAUGUUUGCAAUUAAUAAAAUAGGGGCUUCUUUUAAGUGUAUUGGUCAAGAGUUUCAAACUUUUGUAGUUUUACAUUGCUAGUCAGGAGUUUCAAGCUUUUGUAGUUUUACAUUGCACUUUAUACUUUGUAGUAGUGAUACUGAGGACAUUAGAGUUGUUCUAUUUACAAAAUUUAGAUCUUGGAUUACAUCGAGUGGCCUAAAAUUUGUUCAGUGACUUUUUUUAACAAAUUUAAUUUUCUUUGAUUGUGAUUUUUGAGUUGUUGGUCAUUAGUUUUGUAACCCUUGAUGCAGCCGUGCAGCUUAGAAUAUAAAUCUGAAAUAAUUAAUAGCUGUGAGCGUAGCCUGGUAAGUCAAUAUUGUGAAGAGCAAAAAAAAGAACGAAUGCAUAGAAUAUUGCAGUAUCUUUGCUACAAGAAAUAUUGGAUUUCACCAAGGCGUUAUUCAAUGAGGACGAAUGAUAAGUACAGAUGCAAGAGUUUAUUGGCUUUACAUAUUGACUGUAUGUACAAACAGAUGAAAGGAGAAACAGAAAAUUCUCUCGUCAGUGUCUUGUGCAUAUCUAACCAGGGGAGAACCCUGCAAAAGAGCUUCAGACACGAGUCAUGACUUCCUUGGUCCCUAGCACACUCUUUUCCAGAGUGUUUUCAUGGUUCCAUGAAUGUGGAGACGGUGAGGCCAGCAAUGGCCACAAUUGAUUCCUCUGCUCUUGUACUUUACGAACCAUCUUUAAGUUUUGCCUUAUAACCUUGUUCACUGCGUUUAGGUAGUUGCUUGAGUCAUGGUCUCUUAAAAUUGUACCUUCUGAGCCGUAGGCUUUAGGAUCACUAAGAGUUUCCAGUGGGUGGGGACAAUUCAGGAAUGCCUUUAUGGCACUUGCAGAGAACCCAUAUUGGGUUUUGUUGAAAGCAUACAGUGCACUGCCUGGAGGCAGUAAAGGGUGUGGAGGAGAUGACUUCUCAUCAGGUUGGAGUAUGAAUAAUUUCCCAAGUGGAGAGUACAAAAAUUUCUGCAUAAAAACAUCAGAGAAAGUGAAUGAGAAAUAUGACGAACUUCCUUUGUAUUUUUUACUUUUUUAUGGAUCUAAACUUGAGAUUGGUUUUGAGUUUUAUAGAACAAAUGUAGGCAUCUAUGAACUUUAAAAAGAAAUUAGGUACAUGAUACAUUUGGAAUGAGCCUUUGGAUGGAGGUCGAAUUUGAGGGAUGUCAUGAAGUAGAUAGUCAAAACUCUUUAGUUAGACAAUGCAAGUCUGAGCAAAUAAUGUAUGGGAUGGUUUGAGAAUUGAAAGUUGGAAUUGAUCAAAUAUAUACUUACAUUCUUAAUUAGACAAGGGUGUGACUGGAAGGAGCCACUUAAUCGCAUGAGGACUAGUGCCACAUGGUUGGGGUAGUUGCAGGAGAAAGCUCUUGGGACAAUAUCUCUAUGCAUCACUACACAAUGUACAUGGUUGUCAUCCAACCCCAAAUGAUUUAGGAUUUUUUGGCCUCCACAGAAUACAAAUGGUGAGCCAAAAGUGACCACUGGCCUAAGAGUGGAGGGCUUGACAAACUUUCUGGUUAGUAGCAUCAAGUGAACUAAAAGAGAGAGGCUACCCCCUAGAGAAUGGCCAGUAAAUUGAAGCUUAGCACGCUUUCCAUACUUGUUCAAGUGUUCCAUAAUUUCUGGCACGAACUGGUCAUAAAUUCCCUUUGCCGCUUCAUAAAUUCCUCUGUGGACAAGCACAUCUGUACCCUGUCAAACACAGUAUUUAAUCAAUGGUACAGGUCUUUCUACUGUUAGAAUAUGGUCUAUCUUUUCCUCAGAAGGACUCUUUUCGAGUUGCGAGAGUUUGCAGUCAAUACUUACCUCAAACUUAGCUGGUUCAAAUAGGAGGUUUGCCUGCCAAGAUGCAAGGGAGUCAGAUCCCUGCAAUUUUGAAACAUGAAAACAAGUUCAAGGCCUAUCAGUUUUGGGUCUUCCUUUCAGAAAUAGAAUAUCAUGUUUAAUGUGAAAACUGUGACGUGAUUUCUUUUUAUUUGUUUCUAGAGCCUAGGAAUAUGUUACAUAACAUACAGAAUGAAAUGAAUGAUGAAGGAAUUAUUUACCUGGAUCACAAAGCAUCGUGUGUACGUCCUUAUGUCAUCACAAACAAACCAUUCACAAGGUGCCGAGUGAAGUGACUGAAGGUCCCUUGCUGCCUCCUGUUUUUCCUUCUCCCCAGCUGCAACCACUGCUGUCAUAGUUGAAGCUGCAACGUAAGCAGCCACCUCUGAUUUUUUAUAUACUCGUUGAGAUCUCUCACAAUCUUCAACUGGUCGGUCUCUGUCCUCAACUGGUUGGUUUCCAGUACUGCUUGAAUCAGCACACUCACCUUCCUGCUGAGGUUGAGCGCCAUGACAAAGAAGGCCUCGUGCAUGUGAUUGGACAUAAGAUGCUGCUGAGGCAGCAAUCCCAUAAGCAACAGAUGACCGUAUUGGGUGCUUCUGCUCAGGUUCCUCUGUGUUCUGCGGGUUGGAUUUGGCAACUACAGAAGCAGCUGCCGGGACGUGAGUAGAGUCCUGAUCGAGCUUCUCUUUCAUGGCAGCAGCCUCCGCCUUCUUCUCUAAAGAAGAUGUUACAAAGUGUAGGCCAUGAUAUCUCCUCAAAUCCAUGGCCUGCGUAUCAAUGGAUGAAUUGCUUGUGUUAGAAGCAUUUGUAUUUAUACUCGCUUUAGGCUGGCAAUGCAUGUCUGGGGAUGAUGAACGAAGUAGAUUAGUGAUUUCUAUGCUUUGAAUCACAUAAUGAAUGAGCGAUAAUUUUCUUGAGCUAAAA